rnacentral:rRNA from 1 species
UACGGAGGGAGCUAGCGUUGUUCGGAAUUACUGGGCGUAAAGCGCACGUAGGCGGCGAUUUAAGUCAGAGGUGAAAGCCCGGGGCUCAACUCCGGAAAUGCCUUUGAAACUAGAUUGCUAGAAUCUUGGAGAGGCGAGUGGAAUUCCGAGUGUAGAGGUGAAAUUCGUAGAUAUUCGGAAGAACACCAGUGGCGAAGGCGACUCGCUGGACAAGUAUUGACGCUGAGGUGCGAAAGCGUGGGGAGCAAACAGG